GGUUAAGUUAGAAAGGGCGCACGGUGGAUGCCUUGGCACUAGGAGCCGAUGAAGGACGGGACGAACACCGAUAUGCUUCGGGGAGCUGUAAGCAAGCUUUGAUCCGGAGAUUUCCGAAUGGGGAAACCCACUGCUCGUAAUGGAGCAGUAUCCAUAUCUGAAUUCAUAGGAUAUGAGAAGGCAGACCCGGGGAACUGAAACAUCUAAGUACCCGGAGGAAGAGAAAGCAAAUGCGAUUCCCUGAGUAGCGGCGAGCGAAACGGGAUUAGCCCAAACCAAGAGGCUUGCCUCUUGGGGUUGUAGGACACUCUGUACGGAGUUACAAAAGAACGAGGUAGAUGAAGAGGUCUGGAAAGGCCCGCCAUAGGAGGUAACAGCCCUGUAGUCAAAACUUCGUUCUCUCCUGAGUGGAUCCUGAGUACGGCGGAACACGUGAAAUUCCGUCGGAAUCCGGGAGGACCAUCUCCCAAGGCUAAAUACUCCCUAGUGACCGAUAGUGAACCAGUACCGUGAGGGAAAGGUGAAAAGCACCCCGGAAGGGGAGUGAAAGAGAUCCUGAAACCGUGUGCCUACAAGUAGUCAGAGCCCGUUAACGGGUGAUGGCGUGCCUUUUGUAGAAUGAACCGGCGAGUUACGAUCCCGUGCAAGGUUAAGUUUGAAAAGACGGAGCCGCAGCGAAAGCGAGUCUGAAUAGGGCGCAUGAGUACGUGGUCGUAGACCCGAAACCAGGUGAUCUACCCAUGUCCAGGGUGAAGUUCAGGUAACACUGAAUGGAGGCCCGAACCCACGCACGUUGAAAAGUGCGGGGAUGAGGUGUGGGUAGGGGUGAAAUGCCAAUCGAACCUGGAGAUAGCUGGUUCUCUCCGAAAUAGCUUUAGGGCUAGCCUCAAGGUAAGAGUCUUGGAGGUAGAGCACUGAUUGGACUAGGGGCCCCUACCGGGUUACCGAAUUCAGUCAAACUCCGAAUGCCAAAGACUUAUCCUUGGGAGUCAGACUGCGAGUGAUAAGAUCCGUAGUCGAAAGGGAAACAGCCCAGACCGCCAGCUAAGGUCCCAAAGUAUACGUUAAGUGGAAAAGGAUGUGGAGUUGCUUAGACAACCAGGAUGUUGGCUUAGAAGCAGCCACCAUUUAAAGAGUGCGUAAUAGCUCACUGGUCGAGUGACUCUGCGCCGAAAAUGUACCGGGGCUAAACGUAUCACCGAAGCUGCGGACUGUUCUUACGAACAGUGGUAGGAGAGCGUUCUAAGGGCUGUGAAGCGAGACCGGAAGGACUCGUGGAGCGCUUAGAAGUGAGAAUGCCGGUAUGAGUAGCGAAAGAGGGGUGAGAAUCCCCUCCACCGAAUGCCUAAGGUUUCCUGAGGAAGGCUCGUCCGCUCAGGGUUAGUCGGGACCUAAGCCGAGGCCGAAAGGCGUAGGCGAUGGACAACAGGUUGAUAUUCCUGUACCACCUCCUCACCAUUUGAGCAAUGGGGGGACGCAGGAGGAUAGGGUAAGCGCGGUAUUGGAUAUCCGCGUCCAAGCAGUUAGGCUGGGAAAUAGGCAAAUCCGUUUCCCGUAAGGCUGAGCUGUGAUGGCGAGCGAAAUAUAGUAGCGAAGUUCCUGAUUCCACACUGCCAAGAAAAGCCUCUAGCGAGGUGAGAGGUGCCCGUACCGCAAACCGACACAGGUAGGCGAGGAGAGAAUCCUAAGGUGAUCGAGAGAACUCUCGUUAAGGAACUCGGCAAAAUGACCCCGUAACUUCGGGAGAAGGGGUGCUCUGUUAGGGUGCAAGCCCGAGAGAGCCGCAGUGAAUAGGCCCAGGCGACUGUUUAGCAAAAACACAGGUCUCUGCGAAGCCGUAAGGCGAAGUAUAGGGGCUGACGCCUGCCCGGUGCUGGAAGGUUAAGAGGAGCGCUUAGCGUAUGCGAAGGUGCGAAUUGAAGCCCCAGUAAACGGCGGCCGUAACUAUAACGGUCCUAAGGUAGCGAAAUUCCUUGUCGGGUAAGUUCCGACCCGCACGAAAGGCGCAACGAUCUGGGCACUGUCUCAACGAGAGACUCGGUGAAAUUAUAGUACCUGUGAAGAUGCAGGUUACCCGCGACAGGACGGAAAGACCCCGUGGAGCUUUACUGCAGCCUGAUAUUGAAUGUUGGUACAGCUUGUACAGGAUAGGUAGGAGCCUUGGAAACCGGAGCGCCAGCUUCGGUGGAGGCAUCGGUGGGAUACUACCCUGGCUGUAUUGACCUUCUAACCCGCNNGUAACGGAGGCGCCCAAAGGUUCCCUCAGAAUGGUUGGAAAUCAUUCGCAGAGUGUAAAGGCACAAGGGAGCUUGACUGCGAGACCUACAAGUCGAGCAGGGACGAAAGUCGGGCUUAGUGAUCCGGUGGUUCCGCAUGGAAGGGCCAUCGCUCAACGGAUAAAAGCUACCCCGGGGAUAACAGGCUUAUCUCCCCCAAGAGUCCACAUCGACGGGGAGGUUUGGCACCUCGAUGUCGGCUCAUCGCAUCCUGGGGCUGUAGUCGGUCCCAAGGGUUGGGCUGUUCGCCCAUUAAAGCGGUACGCGAGCUGGGUUCAGAACGUCGUGAGACAGUUCGGUCCCUAUCCGUCGCGGGCGCAGGAAAUUUGAGAGGAGCUGUCCUUAGUACGAGAGGACCGGGAUGGACGCACCGCUGGUGUACCAGUUGUUCUGCCAAGGGCAUCGCUGGGUAGCUAUGUGCGGACGGGAUAAGUGCUGAAAGCAUCUAAGCAUGAAGCCCCCCUCAAGAUGAGAUUUCCCAUUCCGCAAGGAAGUAAGAUCCCUGAAAGAUGAUCAGGUUGAUAGGUCUGAGGUGGAAGUGUGGCGACACAUGGAGCUGACAGAUACUAAUCGAUCGAGGACUUAACCUA
rnacentral:rRNA from 1 species